GACGAACGCUGGCGGCGUGCCUAAUACAUGCAAGUCGAACGCUUCUUUCCUCCCGAGUGCUUGCACUCAAUUGGAAAGAGGAGUGGCGGACGGGUGAGUAACACGUGGGUAACCUACCCAUCAGAGGGGGAUAACACUUGGAAACAGGUGCUAAUACCGCAUAACAGUUUAUGCCGCAUGGCAUAAGAGUGAAAGGCGCUUUCGGGUGUCGUUGAUGGAUGGACCCGCGGUGCAUUAGCUAGUUGGUGAGGUAACGGCUCACCAAGGCCACGAUGCAUAGCCGACCUGAGAGGGUGAUCGGCCACACUGGGACUGAGACACGGCCCAGACUCCUACGGGAGGCAGCAGUAGGGAAUCUUCGGCAAUGGACGAAAGUCUGACCGAGCAACGCCGCGUGAGUGAAGAAGGUUUUCGGAUCGUAAAACCCUGUUGUUAGAGAAGAACAAGGACGUUAGUAACUGAACGUCCCCUGACGGUAUCUAACCAGAAAGCCACGGCUAACUACGUG
rnacentral:rRNA from 1 species